rnacentral:rRNA from 1 species
AAGAGACAGCAGUCGCCGCGGUAAUACGGAGGGUGCAAGCGUUAUCCGGAUUUAUUGGGUUUAAAGGGUCCGUAGGCGGACUUAUAAGUCAGUGGUGAAAGCCUGUCGCUUAACGAUAGAACUGCCAUUGAUACUGUAAGUCUUGAGUAUAUUUGAGGUAGCUGGAAUAAGUAGUGUAGCGGUGAAAUGCAUAGAUAUUACUUAGAACACCAAUUGCGAAGGCAGGUUACCAAGAUAUAACUGACGCUGAGGGACGAAAGCGUGGGUAGCGAACAGGAUUAGAUACCCGCGUAGUCCCUGUCUCUUAUAC